rnacentral:rRNA from 1 species
AUAUCAAUAAGCGGAGGAAAAGAAACCAACAGGGAUUGCCCUAGUAACGGCGAGUGAAGCGGCAACAGCUCAAAUUUGAAAUCUGGCCUUCGGGUCCGAGUUGUAAUUUGCAGAGGAUGCUUUUGGCGCGGUGCCUUCCGAGUUCCCUGGAACGGGACGCCUUAGAGGGUGAGAGCCCCGUACGGUUGGACACCAAGCCUCUGUAAAGCUCCUUCGACGAGUCGAGUAGUUUGGGAAUGCUGCUCUAAAUGGGAGGUAAAUUUCUUCUAAAGCUAAAUAUUGGCCAGAGACCGAUAGCGCACAAGUAGAGUGAUCGAAAGAUGAAAAGCACUUUGAAAAGAGGGUUAAACAGCACGUGAAAUUGUUGAAAGGGAAGCGUUUGCGACCAGACCUUCUCCUGGCGGAUCAUCCGGUGGUUUCCACCGGUGCACUUCGCCAGGUCGAGGCCAGCAUCGGUCUUUGUAGGGGGAUAAAAGCUCAGGGAACGUAGCUCCUCCGGGAGUGUUAUAGCCCUCCGCAUAAUACCUUUACGGGGACCGAGGACCGCGCCUUCGGGCAAGGAUGCUGGCGUAAUGGUUGUCAACGACCCGUCUUGAAACACGGACCAAGGAGUCGAACAUUUGUGCGAGUGUUUGGGUGUUAAACCCUCACGCGUAAUGAAAGUGAACGGAGGUGAGAGCCCUUACGGGUGCAUCAUCGACCGAUCCUGAUGUCUUCGGAUGGAUUUGAGUAAGAGCAUAACUGUUCGGACCCGAAAGAUGGUGAACUAUGCGUGGAUAGGGUGAAGCCAGAGGAAACUCUGGUGGAGGCUCGCAGCGGUUCUGACGUGCAAAUCGAUCGUCAAAUCUGCGCAUGGGGGCGAAAGACUUAUCGAACCAUCUAGUAGCUGGUUACCGCCGAAGUUUCCCUCAGGAUAGCAGUGUUGUUCUUCAGUUUUAUGAGGUAAAGCGAAUGAUUAGGGACUCGGGGGCGCUUUUUUGCCUUCAUCCAUUCUCAAACUUUAAAUAUGUAAGAAGCCCUUGUUACUUAAUUGAACGUGGGCAUUCGAAUGUACCAACACUAGUGGGCCAUUUUU